rnacentral:lncRNA from 1 species
GACAUUUAGUUGUUUUUGCUCAUACUAUAGUUUUAUUAACCUUAAUAUUAACAAAAGCAACGAAUUUUAAGCUAAUAUAAUGGAGGUAAUGUUUUGAAAUGUUUAAUUGUGCUUUACUCCUUCACUUUUGCAGUUAUAAGCUCUUAAUUCAUCCCACCCAAAGCAUCCAUCUACGCAGGAACUGUGGCGAGAAGAAGAUGGAUGAUGUUCAACAUGCAACCUAUGACUAUGCAGUGAGAAAAAACCUGUACGACAGGCUAUUGGUCUGUAAGAAGACUAUCUAUUCCAGUGGAGAAAAGCUACUUCUUUCGCCCUUGAUGUCCUUGACAGGCUUACCUGCCUUAGAUAUUUGCCAAAACUGA